GAACCCAUUAAGUGGAAGUUACCUUUGAAAUCAAUAUUAUCCGUUCGAUCAUGCUGAGAUGAAAUCUCAGCCGUUUAAACUCCCAAAAAUAACCGCUAUGAUGGCGGUUUUUUUUACAGUUACUUGCAGUUUCACAGUUCCACACUCUCUCUCCCAUAAACCUGCAGUUAGCGACGGUUCUAGCUUUUCACCUAAAUUCCCGUUCUCUCUUCCCCACGUCGCCACAACUCCCCUAAAUUCCACGUUCUCCACCUACCCACAUUAUUCGCUGGUAACCUCCCAUGUUUCGGUAAACAAAUACCCUCUUCUCGCAUCUUUCCACUCUCCAGCCACCAAUCUUCGUCUUCAUCGUAUCUCUCUGUAGUAUCAGCCUCUCUCUCAAGACUUUACUAUGCUCUGCUGUGAAGCUUUUACGCAAGGGAAAGAAAGAUACAACAAUAGGAGAGGUAUGAUUAUAUCAUCUUUCAUAGUUUCACUACAAUAGAUGAAAUUAUAAUAUUUGCUUCUACAUAUAUCUAUUUCCUAAUCAAAACCAGUUGUUCACUGUUGAACAAGUUUUAUAUUGAUAUAUGCAAAUCAACAUUGAUACCACUGGAACUUUCUUGCAUGUGUAGAGUGCUCGGUGAUCAGGGCCAGAGAUGAUAAAUUAAAGGAGUAACUUUGCAGCUGAUGAUUGAGAAGAUAUGGCUAUGCUUCAGAUAAUAAAUAGAAAAUAAUAUUAUUGCGGUACUUUGACCCUGUUGGUGCACACCCUACUGGUGAGAUUGGUGAACACUCACGUGGGGUCCCCAACACUCAUAUGUUUUUUCAGUAAGUUGCCAUUGGGAGCCUACCUGAACUUAAGAGUUUUUGGAACUGACUACUUAACUAAAGAUGGAACAAGGGUACAGGAUUAUAUCCAUGUACAUUUAGCUGACGGAUACGCUGCUGCAUUGAAAAAGCUCUCUGUCCCAAAAAUAGGUGUGUCUAUGUAUUUUUUCCCUACUAAUUACAGUUUAAAGAAAUAUGCAAAAUUGAUACAUAGGGUUGUUUCAUUUGUGUCAAGCUGCUGCUGUAUUUGGAGGGAAGAGUUUGGCAA